GAUGAACGCUGGCGGCGUGCCUAAUACAUGCAAGUCGAGCGAACAGACGAGGAGCUUGCUCCUCUGACGUUAGCGGCGGACGGGUGAGUAACACGUGGAUAACCUACCUAUAAGACUGGGAUAACUUCGGGAAACCGGAGCUAAUACCGGAUAAUAUAUUGAACCGCAUGGUUCAAUAGUGAAAGACGGUUUUGCUGUCACUUAUAGAUGGAUCCGCGCCGCAUUAGCUAGUUGGUAAGGUAACGGCUUACCAAGGCAACGAUGCGUAGCCGACCUGAGAGGGUUAUCGGCCACACUGGAACUGAGACACGGACCAGACUCCUACGGGAGGCAGCAGUAGGGAAUCUUCCGCAAUGGGCGAAAGCUUGACGGAGCAACGCCGCGUGAGUGAUGAAGGUCUUCGGAUCGUAAAACUCUGUUAUUAGGGAAGAACAAAUGUGUAAGUAACUAUGCACGUCUUGACGGUACCUAAUCAGAAAGCCACGGCUAACUACGUG
rnacentral:rRNA from 1 species